AUGAAUUUGGGUUCAGAUCUAGCUGUUAAUAUCAUCGACCGCAACAAUUCUGCUGCGAAUUUUGUAGUUAGAAUCAAGCUGUGAAUUUAAUUUGUGGAUGCAGCUCAUGAAAUAGUGGAAGAACCAACACUUCCUCAUGUCCAGGUAAUUUUUCACUUUUCUUCUUAUAUAUGAAGGUGACACCUUGUCUUCUUCUAUGUGUAGGUAACAAAAUCAUAUUUUUACCAAUCUCAUGGGCACGGUACAAGAAGAGAAUAAUGCACUUAGGAACCGCAUGAGUUCAAGUAUUUAAGAUGUGCUGCUACAAAAACUCCAAUAUCUCUAAUCCAAGA